rnacentral:rRNA from 1 species
UGCCUAACACAUGCAAGUCGAACGAACCCUUCGGGGUUAGUGGCGCACGGGUGCGUAACGCGUGGGAACCUGCCUUUAGGUUCGGAAUAACUCAGAGAAAUUUGAGCUAAUACCGGAUAAUGUCUUCGGACCAAAGAUUUAUCGCCUUUAGAUGGGCCCGCGUUAGAUUAGAUAGUUGGUGGGGUAAUGGCCUACCAAGUCGACGAUCUAUAGCUGGUCUGAGAGGAUGAUCAGCCACACUGGGACUGAGACACGGCCCAGACUCCUACGGGAGGCAGCAGUGGGGAAUAUUGGACAAUGGGCGAAAGCCUGAUCCAGCAAUGCCGCGUGAGUGAUGAAGGCCUUAGGGUUGUAAAGCUCUUUUACCAGGGAUGAUAAUGACAGUACCUGGAGAAUAAGCUCCGGCUAACUCCGUGCCAGCAGCCGCGGUAAUACGGAGGGAGCUAGCGUUGUUCGGAAUUACUGGGCGUAAAGCGCGCGUA